rnacentral:rRNA from 1 species
GAUGGACGCUGGCGGCGUGCCUAAUACAUGCAAGUCGAGCGAAUGGAUUAAGAGCUUGCUCUUAUGAAGUUAGCGGCGGACGGGUGAGUAACACGUGGGUAACCUGCCCAUAAGACUGGGAUAACUCCGGGAAACCGGGGCUAAUACCGGAUAACAUUUUGAACCGCAUGGUUCGAAAUUGAAAGGCGGCUUCGGCUGUCACUUAUGGAUGGACCCGCGUCGCAUUAGCUAGUUGGUGAGGUAACGGCUCACCAAGGCAACGAUGAGUAGCCGACCUGAGAGGAUGAUCGGCCACACUGGGACUGAGACACGGCCCAGACUCCUACGGGAGGCAGCAGUAGGGAAUCUUCCGCAAUGGACGAAAGUCUGACGGAGCAACGCCGCGUGAGUGAUGAAGGCUUUCGGGUCGUAAAACUCUGUUGUUAGGGAAGAACAAGUGCUAGUUGAAUAAGCUGGCACCUUGACGGUACCUAACCAGAAAGCCACGGCUAACUACGUGCCAGCAGCCGCAGUAA